UUGGAGCAUGUUGUGACCAGUCAAAAUCACGAGCCACCACUGGUUGAAAUGGAGUUUGUAAUGGGCUGGAUAAGUCUUUAAAACGUUGAACGUAGCUGAUGGAGGUCCAGAGCAGGAUCUUCUGAUGGAAUGGUAAUUGUGCUGGCUCUGUGGGAGCGGGGGAGGGGCGUCUGAUUGCAGGCGAGGAGUAAAGAGAGAUUCCGCAGACAAAGCUUCGUGGUGGAUUUAAAUAGAGCUAAAGGCAAUCACUGACAACGGGAAUGUCGAUGUCUUGUUGAAGGAGCUUGAAAGUUUAGAGGAGGACCAGUCUUUCCGAUAAAGUCGUGGACAAGUUGAGUGAUGAAGCUUCACUUUGGACGGCGCUAUUGCUGGGCCUGAGACUGGAUGGAGCAGGAAAGACUAACGUUGGAGCUCUUAAGUUGGAGCCGAAAAGUGAAGCUGAAUGAAAAGAAGAAUCACCUGAGCAGCCCUCAACGAUGGGAGAUACUGCAAGCAAUGAUUGGAUGUUCAUUGCACAAUCUCUCUCAGACUAAAUGGUCAGCUCACAUAGAAAGUGUUAAACCAAUUGCAAAACAUUUGCCACUAAUAAAAUAUUGAGAGCCAGGAACUAAAUCUGUCUUCUGAGUGCAAAACAGAGCUAAAGGGAAUUCAACGCUGCAUUCAAUCAUUUAAGUGUACUUUGAUGGCAACAACAUGACUCAAAGUAUUGGUUGCCAUUGAUCAACGCAAUAAGGUUCUUCAAUCAAGAGAGGCAACUCUUGACGUGGAAGUACAAAACAUUGACAGCUUGAUUGAGGAGCUUAAAGAGUUACGUGAUAAGUGGGAAACUCUUCUUUCAGAAGCCAAGUGUGUGGCCGAAGCUUUGUCAACAGACCUGCCAACCGAAAGUGAAAUCCCUGAGAAGCGCACAAAAAAGAGAAAACUGUUUCACGAUAAAACACCAGAAGUCCAACUGGGAGAAGUGAUUUUGGAGGGGGAUUUUAAAGUGAAUGUUUUUUACAAGCUUGUUGACUGUGUAAUCGGGGGUUAACACAUCAGUUUGUCUUGGCCAUAGAUACCAAUAAUUUCAGCUUUUUGUGGUUAUUUUUGGAAUUCACCGAUACUCAGAUUGAAAACUCGUGUUCAGCUUUCUGCAGAGAAUUUGACAGCGAUGUACAUAUCCACGAACAUCAUCGAUGAGGUGAAACUCAUGAAAGCAAUUUAUAAGGCAAACUUUGGAAGUGCACUUCUCAAACCACUAGAACUGUUAAAUAAACUUAAUCAGCUUAAGUUGGAAUGUCUUUUUCCUAAUGUCGCUGUAGCUCUGCAGAUUUUCUGUACCGUACAAGUCACUGUUUCUGAAGCCAAAAGAUCUUUUAGCAAAAUGAAGCAAAUCAAAAGCGUACAACGAUCAACAAUCGAACAAGAAAGACCACAAUGGUCUUGCUCUUCUUGCUAUUGAGCACGAUCUUGGCCAGGUCAUUGAACCUUCAAGACUUAAUUGAUGAUUUUGCUGCAAAAAAAAUCCAGAAGAGUUGCAUUCUAGGAACCCUUCCCCAUAUUAUGUGGGCCUUUGACGAUUCUGCCCUGGGGCCCGGAAUUGCUGUCGGCAGGCCUGGCUGCAGUAUAGGAUGUACUCCUGUUUCAUUCAAAAAUAAAAGCAUGGCUACACUCCGUGAGCAUAUCCACUGGGUUUCCCGGAAACAAGACCCACCGGCCCUACACUGUCUAUGAGCUGGACAACAUCCAGAAGCACACACGCUGAUAUGUCACCACACCAGCACAGCUUGGAAACUUCAGAACCACUCUGCCUGAUUCACUGGACAAC